UUCAUCGCGUUUAAUCGUAACCGUCUAAUCGUAUUUGAGGAGGGAAUGGAUCCCGACUGUCUGUGCACGCAAGAACAAAUCUGGACCGUUCGAUCGCAGGCACGCGGAUUGCCAGCGUGGCCUCCCGCUGGCACCGUGUCUGUGUGCUUUGUCACGCAAUAAGCUUCGGUUCGUCAGGGCUGUUGACUGAGCGUUUUACGUGGUACAAUUUUUCUAAA
rnacentral:lncRNA from 1 species